AUUGAACGCUGGCGGCAUGCCUUACACAUGCAAGUCGAACGCCAUCUUCGGAUGGAGUGGCAGACGGGUGAGUAACGCGUGGGAAUGUACCCUUUGGUUCGGAAUAUUCUCGGGAAACUGAGAGCAAUACCGGAUAAGCCCUACGGGGGAAAGAUUUAUCGCCAAAGGAGCGGCCCGCGUCAGAUUAGGUAGUUGGUGGGGUAAAGGCCUACCAAGCCUACGAUCUGUAGCUGGUCUGAGAGGAUGAUCAGCCACACUGGGACUGAGACACGGCCCAGACUCCUACGGGAGGCAGCAGUGGGGAAUCUUGGACAAUGGGCGCAAGCCUGAUCCAGCCAUGCCGCGUGGAUGAUGAAGGCCUUAGGUUGUAAAAUCCUUUCAACGGGGACGAUAAUGACGGUACCCGUAGAAGAAGCCCCGGCUAACUUCGUG
rnacentral:rRNA from 1 species